CGCGGACGCAACCCCGGCGUCGGCCUCUUCCUCUAUUCGACUACACCACUGGUCUUACUUAAACAAGAGAUGAUGAUCUUCAAGUUUAGUUUAGGAUUUGAUUUUCUUUUCUUAUACUUGUAAUUGUAACUAUAUUCUUAUUCUUUAUUAUUUUUGUAAAGACUUUGUAUUAUUGUGUUAAUAUUAAUAAAGAAAUGUUUUCCUUGU